UUAAUAUAAAGGCAAAGCCAUCGGAAGAUGGUGACGCAAAGCUAAAGGGUCUUAAGCACUUAUUUGAGUGCCAGAUAGCCAGUUGCUGGU
rnacentral:ncRNA from 1 species